AGUUUUUCCUUUGGCCAGCUAUCUCGUGCAAUUCUGAGCUGAGAGCUGCCAAAUGAAGGGCUGU
rnacentral:pre_miRNA from 1 species